UACGAAGGGGGCUAGCGUUGUUCGGAAUUACUGGGCGUAAAGCGCACGUAGGCGGACAUUUAAGUCGGUGGUGAAAUCCUGGAGCUCAACUCCAGAACUGCCUUCGAUACUGAGAGUCUUGAGUCCGGGAGAGGUGAGUGGAACUGCGAGUGUAGAGGUGAAAUUCGUAGAUAUUCGCAAGAACACCAGUGGCGAAGGCGGCUCACUGGCCCGGUACUGACGCUGAGGUGCGAAAGCGUGGGGAGCAAACAGG
rnacentral:rRNA from 1 species